AUAUGUUUCUUUAAAUGGCAACAAGAAGCAUUUGUCAUAAGGGUAAGAGUUUCUUAUAUAAUGAUCUCUUAAGCCCUUCUUCACUACAACACUUGAUCGCUGCAAAGAAAGAUAUUCUAUUUCUCCAAGAGAUAAACGAUGAAUUCCAAAAUCCUCUUCUUCUGUCUGCUUGUUGCAGUCGCACAAGUAUAUUCUAUUGAAUAUAAGGAAAAAUGCUUUGGAAUGUGCUUAGCUUGUUAUCAAGUGAGCUCACGUUAUUGUCCAAUGGAUAUAAGGAGGCCAGAAAGCGUUGAAGGUUGCAUUAAGUUUUGUGAUCCGGAAGCUCGAAACAUCAUCAGUGGUAUAGAAAAAUGCAAGACCGCUGCAAACAAGAUAGACUGCGUCGAUGCAAUAAUACACUAGAAUGGAAAUUCCUGAAAAUAUAGGUUCCUUUGUCAUUCAACAGAGCGUAAGCUACACUUCAGCGAUCAAUAAACCAGAACUUAUAAAGCAAAA